AACAAAGCUAUGUACAGAUGAUGCAUC
rnacentral:piRNA from 1 species